UUUAUGGAGAGUUUGAUCCUGGCUCAGAGUGAACGCUGGCGGCGUGCCUAAUACAUGCAAGUCGAACGAUGAAGCUUCUAGCUUGCUAGAAUGCUGAUUAGUGGCGCACGGGUGAGUAACGCAUAGGUCAUGUGCCUCUUAGUUUGGGAUAGCCAUUGGAAACGAUGAUUAAUACCAGAUACUCCCUACGGGGGAAAGAUUUAUCGCUAAGAGAUCAGCCUAUGUCCUAUCAGCUUGUUGGUAAGGUAAUGGCUUACCAAGGCUAUGACGGGUAUCCGGCCUGAGAGGGUGAACGGACACACUGGAACUGAGACACGGUCCAGACUCCUACGGGAGGCAGCAGUAGGGAAUAUUGCUCAAUGGGGGAAACCCUGAAGCAGCAACGCCGCGUGGAGGAUGAAGGUUUUAGGAUUGUAAACUCCUUUUGUUAGAGAAGAUAAUGACGGUAUCUAACGAAUAAGCACCGGCUAACUCCGUGCCAGCAGCCGCGGUAAUACGGAGGGUGCAAGCGUUACUCGGAAUCACUGGGCGUAAAGAGCGCGUAGGCGGGAUAGUCAGUCAGGUGUGAAAUCCUAUGGCUUAACCAUAGAACUGCAUUUGAAACUACUAUUCUAGAGUGUGGGAGAGGUAGGUGGAAUUCUUGGUGUAGGGGUAAAAUCCGUAGAGAUCAAGAGGAAUACUCAUUGCGAAGGCGACCUGCUGGAACAUUACUGACGCUGAUUGCGCGAAAGCGUGGGGAGCAAACAGGAUUAGAUACCCUGGUAGUCCACGCCCUAAACGAUGGAUGCUAGUUGUUGGAGGGCUUAGUCUCUCCAGUAAUGCAGCUAACGCAUUAAGCAUCCCGCCUGGGGAGUACGGUCGCAAGAUUAAAACUCAAAGGAAUAGACGGGGACCCGCACAAGCGGUGGAGCAUGUGGUUUAAUUCGAAGAUACACGAAGAACCUUACCUAGGCUUGACAUUGAGAGAAUCCGCUAGAAAUAGUGGAGUGUCUGGCUUGCUAGACCUUGAAAACAGGUGCUGCACGGCUGUCGUCAGCUCGUGUCGUGAGAUGUUGGGUUAAGUCCCGCAACGAGCGCAACCCCCUUUCUUAGUUGCUAACAGGUUAUGCUGAGAACUCUAAGGAUACUGCCUCCGUAAGGAGGAGGAAGGUGGGGACGACGUCAAGUCAUCAUGGCCCUUACGCCUAGGGCUACACACGUGCUACAAUGGGGUGCACAAAGAGAAGCAAUACUGCGAAGUGGAGCCAAUCUUCAAAACACCUCUCAGUUCGGAUUGUAGGCUGCAACUCGCCUGCAUGAAGCUGGAAUCGCUAGUAAUCGCAAAUCAGCCAUGUUGCGGUGAAUACGUUCCCGGGUCUUGUACUCACCGCCCGUCACACCAUGGGAGUUGUGUUUGCCUUAAGUCAGGAUGCUAAAUUGGCUACUGCCCACGGCACACACAGCGACUGGGGUGAAGUCGUAACAAGGUAACCGUAGGUGAACCUGCGGUUGGAUCACCUCCUUU
rnacentral:rRNA from 1 species